UAUUAUGAGAGUUUGAUCCUGGCUCAGGACGAACGCUGGCGGCGUGCCUAAUACAUGCAAGUCGAACGCUUCUUUCCUCCCGAGUGCUUGCACUCGAUUGGAAAGAGGAGUGGCGGACGGGUGAGUAACACGUGGGUAACCUACCCAUCAGAGGGGGAUAACACUUGGAAACAGGUGCUAAUACCGCAUAACAGUUUAUGCCGCAUGGCAUAAGAGUGAAAGGCGCUUUCGGGUGUCGCUGAUGGAUGGACCCGCGGUGCAUUAGCUAGUUGGUGAGGUAACGGCUCACCAAGGCCACGAUGCAUAGCCGACCUGAGAGGG
rnacentral:rRNA from 1 species